GACGAACCGUGCGAACGUUAUUCGGAAUCACUGGGCUUAAAGCGCGUGUAGGCGGGCCGCCACGUCGGCUGCUGAAAUCCCCCGGCUCAACCGGGGAACGGGCACCGAUACGAGCGGCCUGGAGGGGGGUAGGGGGCACUGGAACUUCCGGUGGAGCGGUGAAAUGCGUUGAGAUCGGAAGGAACGCCCGUGGCGAAAGCGAGUGCCUGGACCCUUACUGACGCUGAGACGCGAAAGCCAGGGGAGCGAACGGG
rnacentral:rRNA from 1 species